AGUGAACGCUGGCGGUAGGCCUAACACAUGCAAGUCGAACGGCAGCACAGUAAGAGCUUGCUCUUACGGGUGGCGAGUGGCGGACGGGUGAGGAAUACAUCGUAAUCUACUUUUUCGUGGGGGAUAACGUAGGGAAACUUACACUAAUACCGCAUACGCCCUACGGGGGAAAGCAGGGGAUCUUCGGACCUUGCGCGAUUGAAUUAGCCGAUGUCGGAUUAGCUAGUUGGCGGGGUAAAGGCCCACCAUGGCGACGAUCCGUAGCUGGUCUGAGAGGAUGGUAAGCCACACUGGAGCUGGGACACGGUCCAGGCUCCUACGGGAGGCAGCAGUGGGGAAUAUUAGACAAUGGGCGCAAGCCUGAUACAGCCAGACCGAGUGGGUGAAGAAGGCCUUCGGGUUGUAAAGCCCUUUUGUUGGGAAAGAAGAGCAGCAGGUUAAUACCACGCUGUUCUGACGGUACCCAAAGAAUAAGCACCGGCUAACUUCGUG
rnacentral:rRNA from 1 species